rnacentral:rRNA from 1 species
UACGAGGGGGGCAAGCGUUGUUCGGAAUUACUGGGCGUAAAGGGCUCGUAGGCGGCCAACUAAGUCGGAUGUGAAAUCCCCAGGCUUAACCCGGGAACUGCAUCCGAUACUGGAUGGCUUGAAUCCGGGAGAGGGAUGCAGAAUUCCAGGUGUAGCGGUGAAAUGCGUAGAUAUCUGGAGGAAUACCGGUGGCGAAGGCGGCAUCCUGGGCCGGCAUUGACGCUGAGUGAGCGAAAGCCAGGGGAGCAAACGGG